rnacentral:lncRNA from 1 species
GGUUCUUCUGCUUCUUGGUGCUCCAGAAGGGGCUGGUGGAGGUGGGAGAGAGGACUCUGUACAGAAGCCAUAAAGAGAGCGCUCUCUCCUUGAGUCACACGUGGGAAGUGGCCCUCAACUCCUGGGGCCCUCCAAGGUCCUGGGACCAGGGAGCUACUGCUGGAGCAGAAGGCUGGAGACAUCUUCAACAGCCUGAGUGCCGUCCGUGACAGGCCUACUAAGCGCCAGGUGCUGGGUAGAGAGACUGCAAAAUUUUCAUCAACAUGGAAA